ensembl:lncRNA
GGGACGUUGGUCAUAUCAACCGUAAAAACAAGGAGUUAUUCAGCAUUCUGUUUUCAUCAUCUCAGAGUGGUCACCAACCCUGCAAUUUUUUUCUCCAAAUCUAACUGGUUGAGGGACAAUGGCAACAUUUACUUUGGAAUAUGCCUCCCUGUGCAUGUCAGUACCAGCCCAACACAGUCAAACUCCAGCUAUGGAGGAGAUCAGGAUGACUUCAUGGACUGGACAGAGGGCCCCCAGAAGAAUAAUAACAUUGGUCUAUGGUAGAAUUAAUACCCCUGUCAUCAGGAUGAGCAACCUAUGAAUAUUGAGGUUGUGGACAACAAUCAAUCAACAUUAACUAGCAAGAACACAGUCUGGCCAAGCCAAUCAGAAUGUACAACCAAGACAACAGUCUGGCUCUGCCCAUCAAAAGCUGCUACUUGUUGGUCAUUCUCCCAUCAGAACAAAGUGAAAUGUUGGCCAUCCAGCCAGACAGCCCGUAUCCAGGCAACCACAAACCAGACACCAAUUGUCACGCCCUGAUUCCUUCCUCCUGUGCUGUCCUUGUGGCCCGCCC